CGAUGUUCACUCUCACUGAGAUUGCAUCCCUGAACGACAUCCAGCCAACAUACCGCAUCUUAAAGCCAUGGUGGGAUGUCUUCAUGGACUACCUGGGUCUGAUCAUGCUCAUGCUGGCCGUAUUUGCAAUGACCAUGCAGAUCACCAAGGACCAAGUAGCUUGCCUUCCAUAUAUAGAUGAUGCAGAGGAAGCCUCAGGAACAAGCUCGUUGCCCCAGCAGAGACCUGAGGAUGUAACCUCAUCCACCAGAGCCCCUGUAGGAACAAUCAUCCCACCAAUCACUAAGGACCUAACGGAUGAAGCGCUUCAUCCUCAGUUGAAAAAUGGAAGUCUUCAUUCACACCAAUUGGUGAUGAAGAUGAAGACUCUCAGGACAAAAGCAGCACAGAAAAGACUGGCCUUUAUGACCCUUACAACCCUUUGUCGUCAGACUCUGAGCCCGAGAUGCCACCAGACCAAGGCCACAAACUCUCCCCACCCACUGAGGAUAAUAGUGUGGAGCGUCAGUGUUUAACUUCAGCGAGAGACUGUCCUGACGGCCGACACUGGGGCUCAACCUACUCCAAACCAGGAAGCGGACCCCCAGACAGAGGAGAAUUUGGCACUGGAACCAGACCUAUAGAAAUUCCAGGUCUCAGUCCAGGAAUUAGAAAGCAUGAACAACAGAUUUAUAGCCCAGAAGCUGAAUCACUUAAUUGUUCAAGCUUUGGCUCCUUGAGUGAAGUAUUGGGCCAGAGAGGUGGCACACCUGACAGGCGUAUUCACAGCUCCUCCACCCAGCAGUUUCCUGUGCCUUAUGGACAGAGAACCAAUGGGGAGGAGACGAUAACAGUACCAGGAUAUAAGAUGGAGACUAUUAGAUUAUCCCCACCAAGGUCACAGGACUAUCAGCAUCAGGUGGGCUAUAUGAAAAAAGGACGGGACCAAGACGUACCUUCUACAAAGGUGACAAGGAACACGCGCCAAACUGUAACUUUGGAAAAAACGCCCAUCACUUGUGACCUUUGUGAGGUUGAGCUUGCCAAUGGGCAGGAGCUGCAGGAUCAUUUGGACAGCAAAUGUCACUGGGACACCCUGGAGCACAUUCAGCAGAAUAAUAAAUACGAUGACGUAAUGAUAGCGUUCCUUCAGGAAGUGAUGCUGUAUAAGAGCCAUUAUUGUAGCCAAGCAGUAGAGGACAAUGCUCUUCAAAGUAAAUACAUGUUUUGAAAUGAAAAGUCAUGAUGUUCAUGACAGACUAAAAAAAGAAAUACUUUCAUCUUACUCACCCCUAUCGUGUUGUCAGCUCUACAGGAAAAUAACCACAUGACAAAGGUGGAAAUGUUUCAUUGUGCUGCUUGCAAAGUUUACAUAUCCACAUCUGUUGCUGAAGUGCAGGCUCACAUCACCUCUGAGGAACACCUCGCUCACACGAAGGUAACGCUGCUGUCCUACAAGUGCAAUAACACAGAUGUGUUUUCAUUAAAUAACCUUUUUGUUUACUGUGAUUGUUUGACUUUCCUGAAGGAGUUUGAAGUGCAUAGGAGACAUGUUUGCCUCAGCAAAGCAGAAGCCAUGAUGAAGGAGCUAAAACCACAGUUUGAACACUUCCUGAAGGUAUUUUGCAAGAGAUUUCCAAACUAUCUAGAGUGUACACAGUGUGCUGGCAGAGCUGCUUAACAUUAAUCUACCAAGCCAAAAAAGCAGCUGGGGCUUAGACUUUUAAUAUUUAAACAGUCGUUUUUACAAAGUGGUUAUUUUGACCUGUUGAAAUUAAAAAUAUUUUCUUAAGUUGUCCAAUUGUGGACUAAGCGUACUCAAAAUUAAAUCUUCUAAAGAUCUGAGGUUUCAAAGGUUUUAAUGAAAGUAUUGUGUCCGCUUUUUAGGAAUUGCACAUUUUCAAGAGGCUCAAAAGUAACUCGAAAAUUGAUUGACAAUGAGUUUCAUGGCCAGUUUUGAGGCCUGAUCCCUGUUUACUCCAUGACAAAUUAACCAGGUAAAAGAUCUGGAGUUGGUUCCAAUUGUUGCCUUUUGUAGGCGUUUACUGGAAUUUUAAAUAUGAGGUCCAAAGAGUUAUAAGUGUUGGAGACUGAGGGCAUCGAUUAGGGUGCAAAACAGAAAUAAAGCUUUCAGAGAGAUAACAAAACAAAAGGAAAGAAGAGAGAGUGGCUAAAUUAACAGUCUGCUGCAGAAUUCUUGGUUUAAAAAAACCCUCUUCAUGUAGUCAAAGCUAGUCAAGCAAUGAAGUGAAGAAAGUCUGAUAUCAAAAUUCAUCUUGUAAAUACAGAGGAUUUGCAACAAGGUGCACACCACCGGUUACGGUCAAGAACAGACAGGUUAGAAUAAACGUUGCCAGAAGGAGUCUGCACAGUACUGUAGAAGGUUAAAUUUGCAGUUUUGUUAAUACUUAAUUGUAGCUUCCACAUCAAAAUGUGAUACAUUAAAAAAAACCCGUCUUGAAUACAGAAGUAAUUUGAAAAACAUUAGCUUGCUUCUUUGUCUUUUAUUUAGUACAACUGGAAAGAAAUCUUUUGACAGAUUAAACCAAAAUGUACUUAAAGAACAAUAAUGGGAAGAGAAAUAUAUGGCCAAGGAGAGAAACAGCUCAUCCAAAGCAAAUAUGGUUGUGGUAGUUUUAUGGUAUGGGGAUGUAUGGCUGUCUGUAGUUUAUAUUGAUGAAGUAACUGUUGAUAGAAGGACGAACUGUGAAGUGCACACGGCUGCUCUAAUUUAGAAAAUGCUGCCAAACUGCUUAGACAGCAUUAGACAAAAGCAACCCAAGAGUAUCUCAAAGCAGAGAAGUGGGAUAUUCUUCAAUGGGCAAGUCAGUCACCCGAUCUCAAAACAACAGAGCAUGUUUUUCAGGUAAAACUGAAUGUAAAGACCCACAAUUAAGCAGGAUCUGAAGGGAGCUGCAGUAAAGGCCUUUUAUCCAUGUAUUAAAAACAAUCCUUAUAUUUAAAGUUUGUCCAGUUACCUUUGAGGCUCUGAAGAUGGAGGUUUGUGUAUAAAAUUGGUUUUAUUUCCUAAACAGUUGACGCAUGUUUUUUGUUAAAUCCAAGCUGAAAGUCUUCACUUUAUAUUUGGGCCUGGUAUUAUUACUUUCCUCAUGUUUCUAUACAUUUAUCCAGGAUCUCUGGGCUACUUGGAUCUUAAUCAGUUAUACAGAUGUCAUCUCCUGCAUGAUGUAUUUUGAUAUUUUUAAGUAAUAUGAGACUAUUGGGUAGAUGCAAAAUGAACUGGCUAUUUUUUAAAUACUAAUAAAAAUCUGUUCUUAAUGGGGGACAGUUCAUAUGCAGAAUAUAUUCAUGAUUCAUAUUAGUUCAAAUAAGUACAAUAUUUUGUUAGUGUGUGGGUAAGUGCAGGGGAUGUAAUCUUCCGACUUGCAAUGUUAACUUUAAUGAACUACUGUGUGAAGUGAGACGUCAAAGCCAAAUUGAAACGCAACGUUGUACAUAAAAGUCAGCAGCAAACUAUAUCUUUAUGUAUCAAGUGAAAAGUUACUGAAGCCAUAAAUCUUAUUAAGGCAUUUGUUUUCACUCGCCGUACACUAUGCUUGAUUAGUAGAAGCAAAUGAUAGCCUGCAGAGCUAGGAGUAAUUACUAGUAAUUAAAGUGUGUGCACUCAGCAUGUCUGGAGCUCUACAGAUGUAACUAUUUCUUUUCUUUCAGGGUGGCAGCCCAUUUGAAUGACAGAACUUACUGGAUGUUGUCAUGAGACUGUUUACACUGAGAUGCUGCGCGCGUCGGAUGAAGAGCAGUCGACUUUACUCUUCAUUACCACACAAAACUGCUGUCCCAGUACUCGUGUCUAAUGCUGACAGACAUGCUGUUGUGGGCCUGUGAACACAAUGCAGCUUUUCUUUGUUUAUAUACGGAUUCCCAUUUCUCAUCUGCCUCGCGUUGCGCUGACUACAGCUGCUCCCAGACGAUCUCCAUCUGGGUGCCUGUAGAAGUUUAAACUUGCAGUUUUGUUAACACUAAUUCUUUGUACCUUCCACAUCAAAAUAUGCUACAUUAAAAAAACCAAAACGAAACUUGAAUGCAUAAAUAAUUUGAAAAACGUCAGAUUGUUUCUUUGUCUUUUAUUUAGAACAACACAAAUGUUUUAAGCAUUGUAUCUUUGUGAUAUAGUACAUUUAAAAUUAAAUUAUUUCAAAACAGUAUAUUUAAACAUUAAAUAUAGGUGACGUGUAUGAAGGGCUUGGUCAGCACGGGUUGUGCGUGUUAGGUCUCUCUCUCUUUUUUACCUCUUUUCUUCCUCAACCACCUUCAGUUUAAAUCUUAUGUUAGAAACAAUGCAGUUACUGAAAUACUAUAAAACACUCUUUCUAUGCAUGACACGUUUUCAGACAUUUUUUUUCUUUUUCAUUUUUCCUUUUUUUUUGUUUUGUUUUGCACUUUAAUUCAAAAUAUUUCUCUCAGUAACUCUGGCCUGAAAAGAGACUGUGGGUUUUGAUUUGACCGUGUUGCAAUACAAAGGAAACAUGACUUGAUGUGAAUAUUGAUACAGAAGAGAAGUGCUCCCAGAAACUGACUCAAACCAUGAGAAAUCUGAGGUAAAAGUUGUCUUCAUUAGAAAUGGAUUCCACACUACAUUACUGCAUAAAACAAAACAGUCUGUCCACUUGGAAUUGUAUUCCAAAAAAAUGGACCAUGUAAAAACAGACAGGGUAACAAUAUCCAAAAUAAUUGACUUUGUCCAUCUGUCCAAAUGUGUACAAUAUCUCAGACAAUAUUGUACUUUUGGCCGGUAAUUUGUUGACUAAAAAAAAAAAAAAAAGUGAACAUCGAAUAUACAUACACAUACAGUCUAGUGAAAUC
ensembl:lncRNA